CUUUACUACUGUAAUCUGCUUCUCAGUGGUCUUACGUGCUCCCAACUUGCGCCGUUACAGUCCAUAAUGAAUGCUCAUUUUCCUGUCCGCCCAUACCUCCCAUGCCUCACCCUUCUGUCAGUCCGUACAUUGGCUUCCUAUAAAAUAUAGAGCUCAAUUAAAAAUUUUGGUUCUUGCUUUCAAAUCGCUACAUAAUGCUGCUCCCACCUAUCUAUCCUCCCUUAUACACAAGUAUGUCCCGUCUAGGCCCCUAUGAUCUGCU